rnacentral:lncRNA from 1 species
UAGGCUUGUCUAUGUGAACAAUCAUAUCAUCUGCAAAUAAUAACAAUUUUAUUUCUUCCUUUUCAGUCUUUACUUAUUUUUUUAGUCUUACUCCACUGGCAAGGAAAUUGGGUAUCUAUUUUAUACUAUAUAAAACAACUUCAGAUGCACUGAAGACUCAAGUAUCAAAAGUAAAACUUUCAGUGAUGUAGAGGACCUCACAGGGAGUAGAGUGUAAGGAUGAAGAGAAAAGACAAGCAUUUUAGUGACCAGUACCAUGGAAAUGCACCAAUGCCUGGAUAAAUGCACUUCCUCUCAAGCAAACUGUGGGAUGCAUCCUUCUUGGUCAUUGUUUGGAUAGGCAGAGGGGAUCAGAUGGAUUUGAGAACCGUGUCUCUCUUGAGUCUAUAAGAGUCCUCUGGAGAUCAGAUGAAAAACAGCCUGCUCAUGCCUGGGAUUACAAAGUUCCAGAAAAACAGGCUACAAGCACUACAAAGGCAAUCCUGCU